GAGGUCCAGUUGCAUAAGGAGGCUUGUUCUUGUUGAAACCGACUUAGAGGAGGAAGAAGCACCAUCCAAGGCCAACGGAAAAGAGAAGAAGGCCGCCCAACUUGAAAAGCCCACAGUCAAGAAAGAUCUUGGAGAGGAAAGCCCAAGAAACCGCGGAGGAGAAGGAAGAAAUGAGGAGGAAUUCUAUGCCAAUGAGGAGACCCCUUUCCUACAUCCAUUACAAGUCCAAAAAAAAGAAGAACUCCUACUUUCUAUGGGAGAUUUCUAGCCAAAAGAAGAAGAGUUCAUUCAAGAAACAAACAACUAAAAAGAGGAGAAAAUAACUCAAGACCAAGUGACUCUUGGGUGCUUGGUUGAGGAGGGUCACACUUUAGACACAAUUUUAUUGGGCUUUUGGAGUUUUAGAUGCCCUUUCCUCCUUUACUACCUUUUAGAGCCUGAAACAAAUUAACAACUGAUUCCUUAAACCCUUCAAAACUAGACUCCAACAGUCAAGUAAACCUAGUAACAUUCUUCAAAACCUGUUGAGAUGCCUCAACCUGAAUAUUUUCCUCAACCAAGCACCAAAGACUAUUUUUCCUAUUCCCCCUCAACUCAUUUAACAACACUCCUAUU
rnacentral:lncRNA from 1 species